CCAUCGACGAUGGUUUGAGAUUAGGGCGUGACAGCUUUACAUACUCUGACUUGAUUCUGUUUUCCAACAUAAGCUGUGCUGCUUCAGUUAUUAUUAUUUUUAAAAACUAUGUUAGCUCGAAUAACUGGGAUUCAUGUCAAUGGAGUCAAGAAUCUACACAUUUUCUCCAUCUACACCUUCAGAUUUCUCCAUGCUAAUACUACUACUACACCAACCCAUUUCUUAGUGGACUUUCUUGUUGAUUCUCUCGGGUUUUCAAGAGAAGAAGCAGUCACUACAAGCAACAAGGUAACCCGCUUGAAACCCUCAAAAAACCCAGAAUUUGUUAUCAAUUUCUUUAAAAUAAGUGGUUUUGAUAAUACCCAAAUCAAAAACAUUGUCUCCAAGUCCCCUAAAGUACUGUUCUCUAAUGUAGACAAAACCCUAAAACCAAAACUCGAGAUUUUACAAGAAAUUGGUUUUUCUGGAUCUGACUUGGUUAAGUUUGCAAAUGCAAAUAUUCAUAUUUUUGAUAGAGGUGUAGAUACUUUUCUUAGACCUUCACUUAAUUACCUUAGAACUUUAUUGGGUAGUGAUGAAGAUGUUGUUAAGGCUAUAAAAAAAGCUUCUUGGUUACUUGGUUGUAAUGCUCCCAAGAUAAUGGCACCUAAUGUAUUGUUGCUGCAAAAUAUUGGGUUUUCGGAUUUGAAACUUAGGAAGUUUAUAUUGCACCACCCAAGAAUUAUGAUGCGGAAAACUGAAUGGCUUGAGGAUAUUUUUCAUAGAGUAGAAGCGGACUUUGGAAUCUCUCGUGAAUCGGCUACGUUUCUCCAUGGAAUUAGUGCCGUUAGUUCCUUUAGUCAGUCAACUCUGGCAGAGAAGGUUGACGUUUAUAGGAGUUUUGGUUGGUCUGAUGCGCAUAUCAGUACGAUGGCGAGAAAACUACCUUUUUGUUUCUGCUUAUCGGAGGCUAAAAUCUGUAAACAAUUAACUUUUCUCAUGAAGGAAGUUGGCUGCACGUCAGAGUAUUUAGCAUCUCGUCCUAAGCUGUUAAUGUAUAGUUUGGAGAAGAGAGUGAUUCCUAGAUAUAAGGUCCUGAAAAUUUUACAUGGCAAGCGUCUCAACGGAGGUCUUGGGUUUUACUCUGCUGCGUGCAUGACGCCAUCGAAGUUUAUGAAAGAAGUAGUGUUGCCUUACAAGGAUAAACUACCCCUUCUAUAUGGAUCAUACAUGAAAAGCGUCCAAUGAAUAGAUAUUAUCAGUUUCAAAAUAGGGUCUUUCGGAAACAGCCUCUCUACCUUCACGAUGUAGGGGUAAGGACUGCGUAUAUACUACCCUCCACAGACCCCAUGUGGGAAUAUACUGGGGAUUCAGCUAAGUCAUUCAUACCAAGACUCAUGUCGACGAGGGUAUUGGAAGCCAUUGUAGGUCCCUUCUUGUCUAUAUUUUUCAUUAAUGUGGUGUUCAUACUUUCUUGAGCCGAGGGUCUAUUGGAAACAAUCACUCUAUCCUCACAAGGUUCCUAGUGUUGACCAAAGGUCCUUUUCUUGGAGAAAUGAACGUCAGUUUGCAAUUUCAGGAGGAAGUGCGACCACACAACCUGCUGUCAACCACACGCACCGGGGUAUGUAGUUGGACACUCACUGGACUAAAUUUGAGCUUGAAGAGAGACCACACAAAUAUGUAGUGCAAACAUGCCUAGCUUGGCCAGAUCUUUUAUGUUGCUCACUUUAAGUCCCAUUUCAUCUGUAUAUACCAGAUGGGCUUGCUUAAGUUAUUUUCCUAGACUAUUCUUAUUUAAAAAACAAAGUUAUUUCCCUAGACUUUCUCUCUCUCUAUAUAUAUGAUGUACUUGGCUUAGGAAAGGAUACUUGAUGAUUUGAGAGCCUAUAGCUUGGUGAUAAACCUUCUUGUUCUUGGUGAAAACCUAUGGUUGUCAUUGAA